rnacentral:rRNA from 1 species
UUGAUCCUGGCUCAGAAUCAACGCUGGCGGCGUGCCUAACACAUGCAAGUCGAGCGAGAGGGGGUAGCAAUACCCUAGUAAAGCGGCGCACGGGUGAGUUACACGUGGAUAACCUGCCUCGAAGUGGGGAAUAACCCCGGGAAACCGGAUCUAAUACCGCAUAAUCUGACGAGAUCUGUGGAUUUUGUCAGCAAAGGAGUAAUUCGCUUUGAGAGGGGUCCGCGGCUGAUUAGCUAGUUGGUGAGGUAAUGGCUCACCAAGGCCACGAUCAGUAGCCGGUCUGAGAGGACGGUCGGCCAUACUGGAACUGAGACACGGUCCAGACUCCUACGGGAGGCAGCAGUGGGGAUUUUUUCGCAAUGGGGGCAACCCUGACGAAGCAACGCCGCGUGGGUGAUGUAGUAUUUCGGUACGUAAAACCCUUUCGACGGGGAAGAAACCGCAAGGUUUACGGUACCCGUAGAAGAAGCCCCGGCUAACUCCGUGCCAGCAGCCGCGGUAAU